rnacentral:rRNA from 1 species
AGAGGGGGCUAGCGUUGUUCGGAAUUACUGGGCGUAAAGGGCGCGUAGGUGGCCUGCUAAGUCGAACGUGAAAUCCCCGGGCUCAACCCGGGAACUGCGUCCGAGACUGGCAGGCUCGAAUCCGGGAGAGGGAUGUGGAAUUCCAGGUGUAGCGGUGAAAUGCGUAGAUAUCUGGAGGAACACCGGUGGCGAAGGCGGCAUCCUGGACCGGUAUUGACGCUGAGGCGCGAAAGCCAGGGGAGCAAACGGGAUUAGAUACCCCGGUAGUCCUGGCCCUAAACGAUGAAUGCUUGGUGUGGCGGGUAUCGAUCCCUGCCGUGCCGAAGCUAACGCAUUAAGCAUUCCGCCUGGGGAGUACGGUCGCAAGGCUGAA